rnacentral:ncRNA from 2 species
UAAGUGAAACAGAGGUGCUAAGGUAACUUGGCUGAGAAAUACUCUUAAUACCCGAUCAGAUUAGGAUCUGCGUGGGGAGUUUCAACAGGUAUCUA